GUGGGGAAUUUUGGACAAUGGGCGCAAGCCUGAUCCAGCAAUGCCGCGUGCAGGAAGAAGGCCUUCGGGUUGUAAACUGCUUUUGUACGGAACGAAACGGUCCGGGUUAAUACCCUGGGCUAAUGACGGUACCGUAAGAAUAAGCACCGGCUAACUACGUGCCAGCAGCCGCGGUAAUACGUAGGGUGCAAGCGUUAAUCGGAAUUACUGGGCGUAAAGCGUGCGCAGGCGGUUUUGUAAGACAGGCGUGAAAUCCCCGGGGUCAACCUGGGAAUUGCGCUUGUGACUGCAAGGCUGGAGUGCGGCAGAGGGGGAUGGAAUUCCGCGUGUAGCAGUGAAAUGCGUAGAUAUGCGGAGGAACACCGAUGGCGAAGGCAAUCCCCUGGGCCUGCACUGACGCUCAUGCACGAAAGCGUGGGGAGCAAACAGGAUUAGAUACCCCAGUAGUCC
rnacentral:rRNA from 1 species